GACGAACGCUGGCGGCGUGCUUAACACAUGCAAGUCGAACGGAAAGGCCCUGGUUUUGUGGGGUGCUCGAGUGGCGAACGGGUGAGUAACACGUGAGUGACCUGCCCUUGACUUUGGGAUAACUUCAGGAAACUGGGGCUAAUACCGGAUAGGAGCUCCUGCUGCAUGGUGUGGGUGGGAAAGUUUCGGCGGUUGGGGAUGGACUCGCGGUUUAUCAGCUUGUUGGUGGGGUAGUGGCUUACCAAGGCUUUGACGGGUAGCCGGCCUGCGAGGGUGACCGGCCACAUUGGGACUGAGAUACGGCCCAGACUCCUACGGGAGGCAGCAGUGGGGAAUAUUGCACAAUGGGCGGAAGCCUGAUGCAGCAACGCCGCGUGCGGGAUGACGGCCUUCGGGUUGUAAACCGCUUUCGCCUGUGACGAAGCGUAAGUGACGGUAAUGGGUAAAGAAGCACCGGCUAACUACGUG
rnacentral:rRNA from 1 species